rnacentral:rRNA from 1 species
UACAGAGGUCUCAAGCGUUGUUCGGAUUCAUUGGGCGUAAAGGGUGCGUAGGCGGCGCGGUAAGUCGGGUGUGAAAUCUCGGAGCUUAACUCCGAAACUGCAUUCGAUACUGCCGUGCUUGAGGACUGGAGAGGAGACUGGAAUUUACGGUGUAGCGGUGAAAUGCGUAGAUAUCGUAAGGAAGACCAGUGGCGAAGGCGGGUCUCUGGACAGUUCCUGACGCUGAGGCACGAAGGUAAGGGGAGCAAACGGG